rnacentral:rRNA from 1 species
UACGAAGGGGGCUAGCGUUGCUCGGAAUUACUGGGCGUAAAGGGCGCGUAGGCGGUUCGUCGCGUCGGCUGUGAAAACCUGAGGCUCAACCUCAGGCCUGCAGUCGAUACGGGCGGACUUGAGUACUGCAGGGGAGACUGGAAUUCCUGGUGUAGCGGUGAAAUGCGCAGAUAUCAGGAGGAACACCGGUGGCGAAGGCGGGUCUCUGGGCAGUAACUGACGCUGAGGAGCGAAAGCGUGGGGGAGCGAACAGG